GCUGCUGUGAGGACAAGAAGGAGUCACUGCCUGGAGGAGCUGCCUAUAAGAAAAAUCAAGGAGUUUCAGCUCAAACAGCACCACAAAUACAAGAAGUGAAAUCAACAUAGAUAUGUUGAGUGUGCCUCCAUCCCAGGAAGAAGAGAGCUAUUCCCUUCCAUCAGCCUGGGGUCUUUGAAGAGGAUUAAGAAAUGGCAGUGAGCCUGAAAUUGCCAUAGUGAGGCGCCGUGAUUUCAAAACCUGGAAACUUGGAGUUUUGCCCUUCCUCCACUGAGCUGAGACACAUUUAUUGGUUUGGUUCUCCUUGCCCUGCUGCUGAUGGAAUUCAGGACAACUCAAGCUGAGAUUCAUGAGGGAAAUGGAAUAAAUACAAAAGUCUGCACUAUAUAAAAAUAUUCAGCUAUGUCUACAAGAGUUCGUCCUGAAAACCACCCUUUGUGCCGGUGUUACCAAUGGCUUUGUGACCUCCUUUGAAAUUGUGCUUGUGACUUGGUUAUGACAGACUGGGAUUGGAGGCAAGCUGGAAGUCUCUAGCCAAGGACACGAUAAACUAUAAUUGUUCUCCAGUAUUCUGACUUUGUCAUCAGCAGAUUUUUUUCAUUAUAAAUCUUUUUUUGUUCAAGACAAGAUCAAGGAUGAGUUUCAUGCAUUUGUGUGCUUACAACUCUCUGACAAAGGAAAUAGCUUGCUUCUGAAGCUCAUACCUUUCCCAAUCACAUAGAAACU